GCUAUAGCUUGAUACGUGGGCGUCAUGCGGCGUCAACGGGAACGGCCAGUUUAUUUUUUUUUUUUGAUUGGCGAAUAACACGUGGGCAACCUGCCUGUAAAACUGGGAUAACUCCUGGAAACCGGAGCUAAUACCGGAUAAUUUUUCUCUUGCACCCAGAAUUGAAAGAUGGUUUCGGCUAUCACUUACAGAUGGGCCCGCGUGCAUUGCUAGUUGUGAAGGUAACGGCUCACCAAGGCAACGAUGCAUAGCCGACCUGAGAGGGUGAUCGGGCACACUGGGACUGAGACACGGCCCAGACUCCUACGGGAGGCAGCAGUAGGGAAUCUUCCGCAAUGGACGAAAGUCUGACGGAGCAACGCCGCGUGAGUGAUGAAAGGCUUUCGGGUCGUAAAACUCUGUUGUUAGGGAAGAACAAGUACAAGAGUAACUGCUUGUACCUUGACGGUACCUAACCAGAAAGCCACGGCUAAAUACGUGCCAGCAGCCGCGGUAAUACGUAGGUGGCAAGCGUUAUCCGGAAUUAUUGGGCGUAAAGCGCGCGCAGGCGGUUUCUUAAGUCUGAUGUGAAAGCCCACGGCUCAACCGUGGAGGGUCAUUGGAAAAUGGGGAACUUGAGUGCAGAAGAGAAAAGCGGAAUUCCACGUGUAGCGGUGAAAUGCGUAGAGAUGUGGAGGAACACCAGUGGCGAAGGCGGCUUUUUGGUCUGUAACUGACGCUGAGGCGCGAAAGCGUGGGGAGCAAACAGGAUUAGAUACCCUGGUAGUCCACGCCGUAAACGAUGAGUGCUAAGUGUUAGAGGGUUUCCGCCCCUUAGUGCUGCAGCUAACGCAUUAAGCACUCCGCCUGGGGAGUACGGUCGCAAGACUGAAACUCAAAGGAAUUGACGGGGGCCCGCACAAGCGGUGGAGCAUGUGGUUUAAUUUGAAGCAACGCGAAGAACCUUACCAGGUCUUGACAUCCUCUGACAACUCUAGAGAUAAAGCGAUCCCCAUCCGGGGACAGCGUUACAGUUGUGGACGACAUCGUCAGUCUGCUGCAAGGGAGCU
rnacentral:rRNA from 1 species